rnacentral:lncRNA from 10 species
CUCUUCCUUCCUUCCUUUUUUUCCUUCUUUUUUUGACAGAGUGCAGGAAAUUCUACCCCCCAAGUAUGGCACCUUGGCAUGCUGAGUAUUUUAAGCUGAAGGAAACAGAGAAAACCACAGAAGCAGAAAGGUCUUUCUGACCUCUCUUGAAGACCCUCAUGUGACAGGUGUCCUGCCCUACAUCCAGAGAGAAGGAAUGUUCCACAGACAGACUAAGAAGAAUCUGAAGAAUCAGGCCUUACUAAGUGCCCUCCAGAUGUGACUGGAGUGAUUUGCACCCGGAUGCCUAGACUCGCCAUCUGCUCAAAGACUGCUCAGAAAGCCCUCCCAUGCAUUCCCCUGCUGCAUACCAGCCCACUCUGCCUGCAGCUGCUGUCUGCAGGACUUCAUAUCUAUGCCACACUGUGUAAAAGCUGUGCUUCAAGAAAUCACAAAAACAUUUUCCUGCACCUACUACACAGCCUGAGUGCGGCAUAAGUUGACCUUGCUUGCUAAGAAAUGGGGCAAGAAAUGCUUUUUUGUGUGUGUCAUGUCUGUUUGUUUUUCAAUUAAGAGAGGAAAGCAUUAGGCAGAUGGAAUGUACAUGUGAGGAUGAGGAGACAGAAAACAAGUAGCCCUUUCCAUCAAGAUAGAGGGUUUUCUGGGGUUGCUGGCUAUUGAAUGUCACUCCUGAUUUCUCUUUCCAAGGCACUGUACCACCAGCCUACUGAGAUUGUGUGGGAGCUUUCAUGGGGGUUGUAUUUCACUGAUGAAAAUAAAUUUUUUGCAUAA